GAUGAACGCUGGCGGCGUGCCUAAUACAUGCAAGUCGAGCGAACAGACGAGGAGCUUGCUCCUCUGACGUUAGCGGCGGACGGGUGAGUAACACGUGGAUAACCUACCUAUAAGACUGGGAUAACUUCGGGAAACCGGAGCUAAUACCGGAUAACAUGUUGAACCGCAUGGUUCAACAGCGAAAGACGGUCUUGCUGUCACUUAUAGAUGGAUCCGCGCCGCAUUAGCUAGUUGGUAAGGUAACGGCUUACCAAGGCAACGAUGCGUAGCCGACCUGAGAGGGUGAUCGGCAACACUGGAACUGUGACAAGGUCCAGACUCCUCCGGGAGGCAGAAGUAGGGAAUCUGCCGCAAUGGGCGAAAGCCUGACGGAGCAACGCCGCGUGAGUGAUGAAGGUCUUCGGAUCGUAAAACUCUGUUAUUAGGGAAGAACAAAUGUGUAAGUAACUAUGCACGUCUUGACGGUACCUAAUCAGAAAGCCACGGCUAACUACGUG
rnacentral:rRNA from 1 species